rnacentral:tRNA from 1 species
GGCAGUUUAGCUUAAUGGUAAAGCACUUGACUGGUAAUCACAAAGAUGUGAAUUUGAGUCUCAUGGCUGGCU